UGAGAUGCACAGACAGUUGCCUGGAAA
rnacentral:piRNA from 1 species